GAUGGAAAUGGAGGCAGAAAGGUUCCUCAAGUGUUCUUUGGCUAGUUAAAGGCUCUCAGUUUUCUAAAGGAUUGUACCACGGACCCUCUUGACAAAAAGACACUGCAAGAUGUAAUAAACAUGUCCAGAACCUUCUCAUUUGUAGCUCUAAAUGCAGUCUACAUAUUGUUCAGACUCCUCUAAAGCCUCAGAUAAACCAGAAGUUUGUCCUCCUCUCCCUCCUCCCCAACGUUCUGCCUUGUGUCACCUCCGUUUCCUCUGAUUGAGCGCUCGUUUCCCACAUGAGCUCACUGCUGGUUCACGCUGCACUGCUUAUUCCCUCUAAUCUCCUUCCUCUUAUCACGCCAAACACAAUACACACAUUUCAGACCUGAGAAAGCAAAAACACAGGUUCUGUCUGCAGAAAGGAGGGCAGUUAACAAAAUCCUGACACACUUUCUGACC
ensembl:lncRNA